AAUCUUGGAAAAUGUGUAAAAUCCUGAUCCAGUCAUCCCGCGUGUAUGCUGAAGGCCUUCGGGUUGUAAAGUACUUUUGGCAGAAAAGAAAAGGCAUCCACUACUACGCGAUAAUGCUGACGAUCUCUGCAGUUUAAGCACCGGCUAACUACUUGCCAGCUGCCGCGGUAAUACGUAGGGUGCAAUCGGUACUCGGAAUUAAUGGGCGUAAAGCGUGUGUAGGCGGUUCGGAAAGAAAGAUGUGAAAUCCCAGGGCUCAACCUUGGAACUGCAUUUUUAACUGCCGAGCUAGAGUAUGUCAGAGGGGGGUAGAAUUCCACGUGUAGCAGUGAAAUGCGUAGAUAUGUGGCGGAAUACCGAUGGCGAAGGCAGCCCCCUGGGAUAAUACUGACGCUCAGACACGAAAGCGUGGGGAGCAAACAGG
rnacentral:rRNA from 1 species